rnacentral:misc_RNA from 1 species
AGUAUAGUUUUGAGCUUGUAAUGACGAUUUAUUAUUUGAUUAUAUUGGAUGAUGGCAUGCCCGUGAAUAUAGCCCUAUGGAGGGAGAGUGAAUCAUGCAAAUAUUAGUAUUUUGCUUUAUUUAUUCACAGUUUACAUGUUUACGCAGUGCACAACAGUAGGGAAUUUGCCUGAUCAACUUUGUUGGAGCUGGGCAUCAUGUGUUGCUCCUAGAUUUGUUCAAUUUUAAAAAAUGAUUAAAAAUUCAGCAAUAUUAAGUGCUAGCAAAAGCUUAAUGUAAAUUAGAAUUGAAAAAAGGAGGAGGAGGGGCAGAGAGAGAGAGAGAG